rnacentral:rRNA from 1 species
CAGCCGCCACGGGAAAACGGAGGGGGCAAGCGUUAUCCGGAAUUAUUGGGCGUAAAGGGUACGUAGGUGGCCUUUUAAGCGUAGGGUAUAAGGCAAUGGCUCAACCAUUGUUCGCCCUAUGAACUGGAAGGCUUGAGUGCAGGAGAGGAAAGCGGAAUUCCUAGUGUAGCGGUGGAAUGCAUAGAUAUUAGGAGGAACAUCAGCGGCGAAGGCGGCUUUCUGGACUGCAACUGACACUGAGGUACGAAAGCGUGGGGAGCAAACAGGAUUAGAUACCCCGGUAGUCCCUGUCUCUUAUACA